rnacentral:rRNA from 1 species
GAUGAACGCUGGCGGCGUGCCUAAUACAUGCAAGUCGAGCGAAUGGAUUAAGAGCUUGCUCUUAUGAAGUUAGCGGCGGACGGGUGAGUAACACGUGGGUAACCUGCCCAUAAGACUGGGAUAACUCCGGGAAACCGGGGCUAAUACCGGAUAACAUUUUGAACCGCAUGGUUCGAAAUUGAAAGGCGGCUUCGGCUGUCACUUAUGGAUGGACCCGCGUCGCAUUAGCUAGUUGGUGAGGUAACGGCUCACCAAGGCAACGAUGCGUAGCCGACCUGGGCGGGUAAUCGGCCACACGGGGACUGAGACGCGGCCCAGACUCCGGCGGGAGGCAGCAGUAGGGAAUCUGCCGCAAUGGACGAAAGUCUGACGGAGCAACGCCGCGUGAGUGAUGAAGGCUUUCGGGUCGUAAAACUCUGUUGUUAGGGAAGAACAAGUGCUAGUUGAAUAAGCUGGCACCUUGACGGUGCCUAACCAGAAACCCACGGCUAACUACGUGCCAGCCGCCGCCGUAA